rnacentral:misc_RNA from 1 species
GACUCGGACUCCAGCUAACAUACCCCAUUUGAAUAGUACUCUGGCGUCUAGAUAUCGAGUUCCAGACAUCUAAGUUGUUUUAAAGCGAGAGAUGUUGAAAUCUAGGCCGUGUUCACAAUCUGGAUAGCACAAAAGAUAUCGGUUAGGAUGUUCCUGAGUGCAAUGAAAACGGGGUUUUGAAUGGUACUCCCAUUCCCAUGACCAUCCAUUGUGACCUUGCUGAUUACUUUUUGUAAAAUUGAGACAUUGUUGGAGGACAUCCAGCUGUUCUUUGGUUUUGGACUGGAUGAUGUUUUGUAAUAUCUGCUCGCGGAUCUCUUGAGGAAGACCGUUGAGAACUUGUUGCCUGAAUUUCUUCGAAAGACAACGGAUUUGAAAAUGUUCUAAGGACCUAUUGACACCAAGUGAAGUUUAAAGGACUUCACUGUGGUGAUAAUUUUUCACAUUAACCAGUGA